rnacentral:misc_RNA from 1 species
GGCGCCUUGAUGUAGUCUAGAUAAACAACAAACAAUACCCAUAAAAUUAAGUACAAUCUACCAUCGUUACCCAUAAAUGAGUUUAUCAAAACGCAAGCAGGAACGAACUCUUAAAUCAAUCACAGUAUUUUUCUUUAAAAAAAAAACCGCUUCCAAUAGAAAUAACUAAAAUUCAUGUUAAUCACCUUAUCCAUGAACAACAUAAAAAUUUGCAGCAAGAAUUAUAUCACAAACGAAAAAUGGCAAAUUUUAGGGAAAAAAAAAUAACACAGAUAAGAUCGAUUUUAUCAUCAAUAAUCGAAUUUUCAGGUCUAAGGUAUAUCAACGACGAAUAUGAUCCUAUAGUAGAACUAAAUAUCAACAGGAUCUUCUCAAGCUAAACAAUGACAGGAUCAAGGUCAAAACCAAACGGAAAUUGAAAAAUUAAUAAGCAAAUCUGCGAAAUUUAC